rnacentral:rRNA from 1 species
GACGAACGCUGGCGGCGUGCCUAACACAUGCAAGUCGAGCGAUGAAGUUCUUUCGGGAACGGAUUAGCGGCGGACGGGUGAGUAACACGUGGGUAACCUGCCUCAAAGAGGGGGAUAGCCUCCCGAAAGGGAGAUUAAUACCGCAUAACAUUAUAUUCUCGCAUGAGAAGAUAAUCAAAGGAGCAAUCCGCUUUGAGAUGGACCCGCGGCGCAUUAGCUAGUUGGUGAGGUAACGGCUCACCAAGGCGACGAUGCGUAGCCGACCUGAGAGGGUGAUCGGCCACAUUGGAACUGAGACACGGUCCAGACUCCUACGGGAGGCAGCAGUGGGGAAUAUUGCACAAUGGGCGAAAGCCUGAUGCAGCAACGCCGCGUGAGUGAUGAAGGCCUUCGGGUUGUAAAGCUCUGUCUUUUGGGACGAUAAUGACGGUACCAAAGGAGGAAGCCACGGCUAACUACGUGCCAGCAGCCGCGGUAAUACGUAGGUGGCAAGCGUUGUCCGGAUUUACUGGGCGUAAAGAGUAUGUAGGCGGAUAUUUAAGUCAGAUGUGAAAUUCCCGGGCUUAACCUGGGCGCUGCAUUUGAAACUGGGUAUCUAGAGUGCGGGAGAGGAAAGUGGAAUUCCUAGUGUAGCGGUGAAAUGCGUAGAGAUUAGGAAGAACACCAGUGGCGAAGGCGACUUUCUGGACCGUAACUGACGCUGAGAUACGAAAGCGUGGGGAGCAAACAGGAUUAGAUACCCUGUAGUCCACGCCGUAAACGAUGAAUACUAUGUGUCGGGGGGUACCACCCUCGGUGCCGCAGCAAACG